ACUCUUCUUCUACUUCAUUUUUUAGUUCUUUUAUAGCAUUUACUGUAAGGAUAAGCCCAACAUGAUUUAUCCAAGCCUCUAUUGUUAACCAUAUAAACAUUUCAGAUUUUUCAAUUAUAAACAUCACAGUGAUGACAUCCUUAAAUUUGAACCCAUCCACACAUAUUUUCUUAGAAUACACUGUUAGAAGUAGAAUUGCCAUUUGUGUUUUUUUACAAUAGAGAAAUUAUUAAAGUUAUUUUGAAAAAAGAGUUUGCAAUAAAGAUUUAAGGAAUGAAAAAUGAAAUCAUGACCUUCUUUGUUUCUAUAGAGGAGUCAAAUGAAGUUGUUCCAAAUGAGGCAAGGGCUCAUAAGGAAGAGAACCACCAUGCAGUAUCUGCAGAUAAUGUGAAUGAAGAAGUCAGAUUCAUUGAAAAUGAGUUAGAGAUUCAGAAGCAAAAAAAUUUUAAACUUCAGACAUUUGUAAGAAGCUUGAUACUAGCCAUAAAAGCUGACAAUAAGGAACAACAACAGGCAUUGCUGUCAGAUUUACCUCCUGAAUUAGAAGAGAUGGAUUUCAAUCAUGCCUCGCCGGAGCCUGAUGAUACCUCAUUCAGUCUGUCUUCUUUAUCAGAGAAAAAUGCCUCAGACAGUUUGUGA
rnacentral:lncRNA from 1 species